ACAGUAUGUAGCAAUACAUAGUGGUGGCGAGUGGCGGACGGGUGAGUAACGCGUAGGAAUCUGCCCUAUAGUGGGGGACAACCCGACGAAAGUCGGCUAAUACCGAAUGUGCCCUUACGGGGAAAGAUUUAUCGCCAAAGGAUUAGCCCGCGUAGGAUUAGCUAGUUGGUGAGGUAAUGGCUCACCAAGGCUCCGAUCCUUUAGCUGUUCUGAGAGAAGAUCAGCCACACUGGGACUGAGACACGGCCCAGACUCCUACGGGAGGCAGCAGUUGGGAAUCUUGGACAAUGGGGGAAACCCUGAUCCAGCCAUGCCGCGUGAGUGAUGAAGGCCUUCGGGUUGUAAAACUCUUUCGACGGGGACGAUAAUGACGGUACCCGUAGAAGAAGCUCCGGCUAACUUCGUG
rnacentral:rRNA from 1 species